rnacentral:rRNA from 1 species
CCUACGGGAGGCAGCAGUAAGGAAUAUUGGUCAAUGGGCGCAAGCCUGAACCAGCCAUGCCGCGUGCAGGAAGACGGCCCUAUGGGUUGUAAACUGCUUUUGAACAAGAGAAAACCUCGGUACGUGUACCGAGCUGAUAGUAUUGUUAGAAUAAGCAUCGGCUAACUUCGUGCCAGCAGCCGCGGUAAGACGAAGGAUGCAAGCGUUAUCCGGAUUCAUUGGGUUUAAAGGGUGCGUAGGCGGCCUGAUAAGUCAGUGGUGAAAUCUCUCAGCUUAACUGAGAAACUGCCAUUGAUACUGUCGGGCUUGAGUACAGAUGAUGUGGGCGGAAUAUGACAUGUAGUGGUGAAAUACUUAGAUAUGUCAUAGAACACCGAUUGCGAAGGCAGCUCACAAAACUGUAACUGACGCUGAGGCACGAAAGUGCGGGGAUCAAACAGGAUUAGAUACCCUGGUAGUCCGCACCGUAAACGAUGAUUACUCGUUGUUGGCAAUAUGACCGUCAGCGACCAAGCGAAAGCGAUAAGAAUCCACCUGGGGAGUACGCCGGCAACGGUUGAAACGUCAAAGAGAGUUAGCGNGNGAGAGCGCGACGGCGACGACGGAGGGAGGAGG